UACGAAGGGGGCUAGCGUUGUUCGGAAUCACUGGGCGUAAAGCGCACGCAGGCGGAUUGAUAAGUCGGGGGUGAAAUCCCGGGGCUCAACCUCGGAACUGCCUUCGAUACUGUCUAUCUUGAGUCCGGGAGAGGUGAGUGGAAUUCCUAGUGUAGAGGUGAAAUUCGUAGAUAUUAGGAAGAACACCAGUGGCGAAGGCGGCUCACUGGCCCGGUACUGACGCUCAGGUGCGAAAGCGUGGGGAGCAAACAGG
rnacentral:rRNA from 1 species